UAGUGUUCAAAAAAUUUUCAUCAAUAAUAAUUCCCUUCUGUCCCAAACACUCAUAAAGAGUACUAAAUCUGAUAUUCAAUAAGCAAAAAUAUUUAUUUCCCUUGAUGUGAAAUGAAACUCUUACAGCAAAUCAUUUAUUUAUUUCUAUUAUAUGCUUUAAACUGAAAAGCUUUUGAAUGUUUGAUUUUUCAUGUCUGACUUGGGCCCAAAUCUUCUCCAUCUCGAUCUUAAAAUUUGUCAACUCCUCUAUCUUCUGCAUCAGGCGAACCAGUAUGACAGUUGAUGCAGGCUUGGGAUUUUCCUGCCAAAUUUCUAACAUCUCAAGGCCCUGAUCACCAUAUAAACGUUCAACAGACCUUAAAAAUUGGGUCCGAGACAUUCCUCCAAUUUCUUUAUUGCCUUUGAUUGAUUCCUCCACAUAGCUAGCAGCAGACUUUAACCAACUCAUUAGCAUGUCCAAUUCAUACCUGUCAUCUUCAAUUUUCUGAUCCCAAUUUUGACACCUUCUCUUACAGGGCUGAUAUUCUGCUUUGAAAUAAGGCUUACAUACCCAACGAUUAUUCAAAACAUCUGAUUUAUGUUCUGUUCUAUGAUGAUUAUCAUCUUCUCGAAUGAGAUAAUAACUUGGAGUGCACUGUUCCACGUAAUUGUAUCUUCUUUUUCCUCUUCUUGGUUCAAGUUUUUGCUUUUCAUCUUUGCCCGCUACCUUCCUUGAGAACCCAUCAAUAUUCUCACAGUCAUCCAGAAAUAGAUUGAAGGCAGCCAUGAGUUCAGGAUACUCACCUAUAUGGAUAGCAACUGAUUUUUCUAAUUCAACCUUUUCUAUCCUUUGACUGCUAUAAUUGUAGAAGCACCUCAAGAACUCUACAUAACUCUGGCUAGGCAGUUUCUUGUGAACUUUCCCAAAGAAUGUAAUCACCUGUUUAUGAAAUCCCUCCAUGGGUUUUUCCUCGCUAGAAUUCUCCUCCUGCCAAGCCUUCUCUGUCGAUCCAUCAUCAAUUGGAACAUGAUAUGCCAGUGGUUUUGCUUUGGAAACCGAAAUAAAUCCUGUGUAGAAAUCUUGCAGCAAAUCUUGAUGGUCUGCAAGUAGCGCAGAAACCUCAUUGCAGACAUGAUCCACUUCCCCACAUCUCCUUCUGUAUGAAAUCAAAACCUCUAGCAAGGAUAUGAAAAUACCAUAAUCACGAAUUUGUACCUUGUUCAGAAAAUCUAUGGCCUCUUGAUACUCUUCUUCUGUGAAAUAAUACAAAUUACUUUCAUCUCUCUCCAUCUUCGUCGAUGCGUUUUUACGAUGAAGAAGAAGAAGAGAGGGGAAUAGAGUUUUAGUAGGUGAAAGAAAAAGCGUGUCUACUGUUAUAUAUACCGGCGUUAAUCCUAAACCUGUUGUAGUAGGGAUUCCUAAUCCUGUUGUAAUAGGGAUUCCUAAUCCUGAUAUUUGAAAGCAAUUGCGUUAAUCCUAAUCCUGUUGUAGUAGGGAUUCCUAAUCCUGUUGUAAUAGGGAUUCCUAAUCCUGAUAUUUGAAAGCAAUUGCGUUAAUCCUAAU
rnacentral:misc_RNA from 1 species